UACGAAGGGGGCUAGCGUUGCUCGGAAUUACUGGGCGUAAAGGGCGCGUAGGCGGAUGUCUAAGUUGGGGGUGAAAUCCCGGGGCUCAACCUCGGAACCGCCUUCAAUACUGGAUAUCUUGAGUUCGGGAGAGGUGAGUGGAAUGCCGAGUGUAGAGGUGAAAUUCGUAGAUAUUCGGCGGAACACCAGUGGCGAAGGCGACUCACUGGCCCGAUACUGACGCUGAGGCGCGAAAGCGUGGGGAGCGAACAGG
rnacentral:rRNA from 1 species